ACUGGUGUAAGACGCCAAUAGGUGGAUUGCUAGGCUUGAGAAGAGAUGAAGGACGUGGCAAGCUGCGAUAAGCUCGGGGUAGGCGCACGCAUCCUAUGAUCCCGAGAUGUCCGAAUGAGAAUCUUACACAUUUGUGUAUUCCAGUACAAUAGUAUUGGAAGUCGAACCGUGGGAAUUGAAGCAUCUUAGUACCACGAGGAAAAGAAAUCAAUUGAGAUUUCCCAAGUAGUGGCGAACGAAAAGGAAAUAGCCCAAACUGAAUCCUUCGGGAGAUGUGGUGUUUUGGUAUGAUAAUAUGGAAUCCUGGAGCACAGCUGAAAUGAUCUGAAAAGUUCUGGAAUAGAGGGUGAUACCCCCGUAAGCGAAGUGUGAAGGGUCCUAUUCAUACCCGAGUAGUUGUCCUUGGUAGUGGGCAAUGAAUAUGGGUGAAAGUAGCAUCCGAGGCUAAAUAUUUCUCAAGACCGAUAGUGGACUAGUACCGUGAGGGAAAGCUGAAAAGUACCCCGGAAGGGGGGCGAAAAGUGCAUGAAACCUAUUGGUUACAGACGUGCGUGGCAUGGAAGGUGAUUUUUUCAGAUUAGAGAUUCUAGCAAUAGAGUUGAAGAUUUGAUGUUCAAAUCAUCAGUGUCACGCGUUCCGUCUCGAAACACGGGCCAAGGAGCUAACUGUCAUGGCAAGCUUAAACUGUAAAAGUGAAUGCGAAGGGAAACCGAGCUCUCGCAGCUUCGCAAGAAGUCAGGAGAGGCGUGUGAAAGUGCGUAGAGUCAUGGCGGCUAGGCUAGAAGCCAGUCGAUCUAUUCCUGAGCUAGAUGAAGGAGGGCGAAAGCCCUCUGGAGGUCUUAAGACGUUCUGACGUGCAAAUCGUUGUUGUGACUUGGGAAUAGGGGUCAAAAACCAAUCUAGACUGGCGCUCGCUAGUUCCAACCGAAGCGUCUCGCAGGGCGUGGUUUGUGGAGAUAGCGUUUCCGGUAGAGCACUGAUAGAAGGCGCGGGGGAGAAAUCCCUCACCUCUCAUUCAAACUCCGAACGGAUACGCAUCGUAGAAGCAGGCACACGGGCUCAUGUGGCGUAAGGCUCAUGGCCGAAAGGGGUUUAACCCAGACUGAAGUUAAGGUCCCCAAAUUUUUGCUAAGUGUCAAGCGAAAGAGCGUGUUCUCGCCAAGACAGCAGGGAGGUAAGCUCAGAAGCAGCUAUCCUUUAAAAAGUGUGUAACAACUUACCUGCCGAGGGGGGAUGCCUCAAAAACGGACGGGGCUAAAGCAAAAUACCGAUACUUUAGAUAAUUAUCAAUGGAUAAUUCGUGGUAGGUUGGCGUAGUGAUUGGGUCGAAGCAGGGCGAUGACGUCCUGUGGACCGAUUUCUAUUGCAGAUCUUGGCGGCAGUAACAGCAUAGUAUUGUGAGAACCAAUACCACCGCAAGCGCAAGGGUUUCCAGGCAAUGCGUUAUCAGCCUGGAGGUAGUCGAUCCUAAGAUGUGCCUCAACAGAGUACAUCGAAUGGGAAACUAGUUAAUAUUCUAGUACCUUGUAUCAAUCGUUUGAUCUAUAUGGUUCGCUUCCGGAUAAGGAGUGUACAAUUAUCGUUGUAUCUAACUAUUCGAGGAUGGGGAGUGUCGUAAUGACGAGAACCUUUCCGAGGUAGGAAUGGCUUCGCGUUAGCGAAGUUUUCUUGAUUCCAGGAGACCAUGAAAGACUGUGUAGUUAGAAAGAUACAAGUUCGUACCCAGAACCGACACAGGUGCGCUGGCUUAGAAAGCUAAGGUGCUACGGGUAUACCGUAUGGCGAGGGAAUUCGGCAAAUUAGUCCUGUAGCUUAGGUAUAAGGGAUGCCUGCGGUCUUCAUGAGGAAUGGGGACCGCAGGUUGCAAUGACAAGGGGGUUUCGACUGUUUAAUAAAAACACAGGCGACUGCUAGUCCGAAAGGAUUUGUAUAGUCGCUGAAUCCUGGCCGGUGCCGGUACCUAAAACUUGGGUUCAACCGAGCUAAGGGCCGGUUAACGCCGGGAGUAACUCUGACUCUCUUAAGGUAGCCAAAUGCCUUGUCGGGUAAGUUCCGACGCGCAUGAAUGGAACAACGAGAGCCCCACUGUCCCCGCCUACAACCCGGUGAAGCCACAUAAGGUGGACGAACAGUCCAUCAACUUCCAUCGGGGAGAGAAGACCCCGUGGAGUUUUACUGCAGCUUGUGCUUGUGGUAUAGUAAGAAUUGCACAGGGUAUCUGGGAGCUAUGCUUAACAUUCCCCGGGAUGUUAAUGAAGCAACGAUGUAACACCAGACUCUUUUUGCAGUACCACUUAUCCAGUGAAGACCGGAGACACGUGCAGGUAGGCAGUUCGGCUGGGGCGGCACCCCUUUGAAAAGAUAUCAAAGGGGCCCAAAGUUGA
rnacentral:rRNA from 1 species